rnacentral:rRNA from 1 species
GACGAACGCUGGCGGCGUGCUUAACACAUGCAAGUCGAACGGUGAAGCACCUUCCUUUUGGUGGGUGUGGAUGAGUGGCGAACGGGUGAGUAACACGUGAGUAACCUGCCCCCUUCUUCCGGAUAACCGCAGGAAAUUGUGCCUCAUACGGGAUAUUCUGGGCCUGUCGCAUGCCGGGCCUGGGAAAGAUUUUGUUUCGGUGGGGGAUGGGUUCUCGGUCUAUCGGCUGUUUGGUGGGGUGUUGGCCUACCAAGGCGUUGACGGGUAGCGGGCCUGGGAGGGUGGACGGUCAGACAGGGACUGGGACACGGCCAAGACUCCUACGGGAGGCAGCGGUGGGGAAUAUUGCACGAUGGGCGCAAGCCUGAUGCAGCGACGCCGCGGGAGGGAUGGUGGCCUGCUGGUUGUAAACCUCUUGCGCCAGUGAAGCAGGCCUGUCCCUUGUGUGGGUGGGUUGACGGUAGCUGGAUAAGAAGCGCCGGCUAACUACGUG